UGAAGUUAAUAAAUCGUAUAUAUUCGGUAAUAUGGUCCGAACGUCUCUACCCAGUCACCUUAAAUGAUUGGACUACGAUAAAUC
rnacentral:ncRNA from 1 species